UUUUUUUUUUUAAGGAGUUAAUCGGUAUUUGUUGAAACUGGAAAAAAUAAAGAAAGAAUAUAAAAUGGAUGACAAGUUUAGGCACUUGAUAUUUCAUUUCUUGUUCAUUACUGUUCAAGCUAUGAUAGCAUCAUAAUAGUGAAAUAAAUUAUACACAUUUCAUAUGUAGGAGAAACUGGAAACCUAACAAUCUCAGUGGAUGUUGGAAAACUAUUUAUAAUCUAAGAGCCAGAUUAAGUAUCUCAAACUCAACACAUUUUAAGUUUAGUAAUUUGUAGAAACCCUACCUGCCAGUUCCAGACCAUUAAAUCCACCAGAUUUGUGGGUCAUUAGUUUGGAAUUCUUCCCUUCACUUUUCCUAUGUUAAUUUCAAAAUGUCCCUCUCUUUCCCACAGUCCAGACCAGUAUUCAUUGUACUAAACAAAUAGACUACUGGUUAAAAAAAUUCAGCAGAUACAAUUUGUUCAGGAACAAUCUGCAACAUAGAUCUGCUUUAACCUUAGCCCCCAGUGAAUUUACCUAUUGCAGAAUGCUCCAAGUGAACUUGAAAAAUAAGCUCAGUGGACAAAGAACCAUAGCUGAAUUCCUAACCAUUUACAGAAACCCAGGCCUAAGACAAAGUUCUGCCUGGAAGGACAAUGUGCAAGUCCGAAUAUGUAGUGCAAACAGCACAAUUAUUUUGCAAUGAGAUUGGGAAGCCAAGUGCUGUUGUGUCAUAGUUGUAGAUCAUUUCUCCAAAACAGGAACAAGCACAUGUGGUUUCAUUUCAUUUUAUUUCAUGAAAAAAAAUUUCAGUUGGGCAGAAUAAUGUGUUGUGACUUUUCUCUUCUGGAGUUUACUUGGUCUUUCUGGAACACUGUAUGAUCUUUUAAGGGACAGAGAAUGAAUGAAGAGGGGGUUUUGUUUUGUAAGAAAAAGAGAUUUCUUUUAAAAUGUAUCUAAUGAAUUUAAAACUGAGGAAACAUUUUAUACUUUUCUCUGGCCAUGGAAAGAAACUUUUUCCUUUCCUUUCACUCAGUUGAAAUAAUAUACUCCCCUCAAGUCAUAAAAUUCAAAGGUUUUUAUAUACAAGGGCUCUUUUUGCCCUGAAUCCUUGGUUUCCUGAUUCUUCGUGCACUGAGCAGUAAUAUCAUUCUUCUCAGUUUGAGACUUUGCCAUCGUUCACAUUUUCUAAAGGCUUAAAGGACUAUCAAGUCGGUUAGUUGGCAAACUUUUGGGUCCUAUUUAUAUAAAGAUUGGAGACACUUGUAGGACUCUCUGCCUACCAAAUCUGAGGCUGUUCCUCUGACUUUUCUCAUGGAUUUUACUUAAACAGAGUACAGAAGUUGGUAAGUGACAACCAUGUGAAGAACCACAUAAUCCUAAAUUUCUUGCUUACCACACUUUUCUGGUUCUUCCUUUUAAGAAUCCUCUAGACACGGUUCUUUGACUACACCAGACACUAAGUCCCUUUUUAGGAAAGGAGAAAAAUUGAAUUAAAUUUCUUGAAUGCCUAUUGUGCCAGACACAUCAGUUAUAUCAUUUAAUCUAAGAGCCAUAGCAAUGCUACAGAUGAAGAAUGGGAGAUGUAGAAGGUCAGUGACUUAUUACCCAUGGUCACACAGCCAAGGACAUGCAUGUCCUCUAUAAUAAAUCACUCUCUCAUUCAAACUUUUGCCCACUUCACUCAGAAAAAUCUCUCCUUGUACUUCUCUCUUUUAGUCCUUUUGUUAAUCAAGUCAAAGCAAAACAAAGCAAAAACAUCCUAAAAGUAAUUCUAGUGAUAGACUUGAAACCAAAAGAAAACUUUAUGUAAUGAAGGAAAACUAUACCUAAGAACUUCCAUGAACCUUUCUGACCUUGAAAGCAGGUUUAGAAUCUUUCUGAAAUAAUCAUUCUAUUUCCUUUUCUUUCAAAUAAAUGUUUGUCCUUAGGCUCCAACAUUCAAGAUAAAUAAAACACUUUCUAAUUUAAUGCUACUUUGAUUACUACUAGCAUUGCAACAGUGUUUUUCCAACAUUUUUUUAUUCCCUAGAGUAUUAGAUCUUUGUAGAGUAGACUACAACCCAAAAGCACCAUUUAUAACUUUGUUUCUAUGGAGAGGAGCACUCUGAAAGUUCCAAAGAGCUAAUGUACAAAUACUCAGUGGAACACAAUGUUUUUAAGUUGGGGACUGCUCAUAUUUAUGAAAUGAGUGUUUAAAACAAAAACAAAUAUUUUAACAGGGACAUGUAGGGACAGAGGGGUCUCACUGAUUCAGCCUCUUACCGCCCCCUCCCACACAUACACAAAGAUGAUUGGAGUCCUAUAAUCUAUUAUACAGCCAGUUCCAAAGUAAAUUGAGGAAUGGGAGAAAAGAACCAGAGAUGUAACUGUAGCUCGUGAAAUGACCACAAAUAUUACUGAUAGUUUAUUUAGUAACUUUGGUUAAUUCCUAUCUUAAUAAACUUCAUGUAAAAUUCAGAGUUGCCCAAUUGGGGGGAAAAAAAAGAACUAUUUUUUUUUACAUAUUACAUUUCUUUAAAUUUUUUUUUUACAUUUUUUUAAAUAAAGGCCAAAACCAAAAAAAAUUUUAAAAAAAUAAAUAAAUAAAUAAAUAAAGGCCAAAACCUAUUCUGAUCUGAAAUUUGAAGACAAUUAGAAAAUCAGCAACAGGAAAAUGUUAUCAGAAAUCUGAUGCGUCGGGUAAUUUCAGUAGUUACACGUGUAUGUUAAGUGUGUUUCUUUUGUUAUACUAGUCUUUAUUUUAAAGUAAAAGAAAAAUUCUCAAAAGUAUUCUUCUGAAAACUUCUACCUAAGACCUUCUAGAAACUUCCUAUUUAGAAAUAUUUUUGCACUUUAAUUUUUUGGAAUUUACAACUUUAUAAAAAUAUUCAUUCACCAUACUUUUUAUAAAAACACUGUCACUUCCCCCGCCCCCGUAACUCUGUUUAUAAUUAUUAUUGUAUUUAGUCUAUGGCCAUACCACCCUGAACGCGCCGGAUCUCAUCUAAUUGUUACUAUAUUUACUUUUCAGCAUGUUAAUAUAAAAGAUAAAUGAAAUAUUAUUUUAAAAGCACAGAAGUCCAAGCAACCAAAUGACUUGGGAAUUUUUGGUUGGAUAUCUCUAACCAAAACCAGCUUUAAAAAACUUAGUUGACUCUAAAGAUUUUAUCUUGAAACACAAAAAUUCACAAAUUCUGAAAAAAAGAUACAGAGAUGUAAGCAUUGGAAAAGAAAAAAGUAAGAAUUAGGUUUGCAGGCAAACUUGCAAAAGGUGCAAGGAAGUCAUACGUCAGGACUAGCUGGCCAACUUAGAAGACACAGCAAGUAUUUAAACAGAAAAACCACACAGAACUACUAAAGUUGCUAAAUUUGCAUUGGAUUAUUCGUAAUGAAAAAACAGCAGCUCUGUCACCAUCAUUGUAUUCACAAAGAUCAUGACAUAUCUUCAAGUAGAUGUGGUGGGUGAGUAUGGAUUUAUGGGACACAGUCAAGGUUUAUUAUUUGGGGACCAGAAUGGUCACCUGUACUUUUGCUUUAUCUCAAGAUAUAGAACAUCAUUUUCCCAUCUGUGGAACGAGAAGUGCUUAUGGUAUUAAAAUCAGGGCAAAGUGUCGGAUUUCACUUCAACAAAAUGCAAUUUCUAAUUUAUUGACCAUCUGGUAUUCCUCCUCUACCAUGAAUAUACAGGAUUUUGUGUGGUUAUUUUAAAAGUUUUUACAUGGUUAAUUUAGUUGGUAUGUCUCUUUAAAUACCUUUUCUCUUAUUAUUAUUAUUUUUUUUAAUUUGCUGUAGUCCAUAUAUGAGCACUCCCACAUAUUUCUCAUCCUACCUAACACAGACGACUGUCCCCAUGUAAAAUAAAUCCUAUAAUCAGCCACCCAUGCUAUUCUCUUGUUUAACAAAUCAUUAAAGCCAGGCUUCAUUCACAUUAAAUCUCUGUUUUAUAAGAAACAUAAGUAUUAAUAAAGUAAUCUUAAAGUAACCUUCAUAAAUGGGAGCAGAAAGAAACAGCAGUUACUUUAAAAGAUGUAAAAACUAUAGAUAAAUCCAAUUUGAAGUUUUUAGGGGAAAAAUUGUCUUUAAGACUAUAUGCUAGAUUUUUAAUAUUUCCACUACAGAUGUUGGGUUAAAUGUCCACACUGGUCUGGUAUCAAAAUUCAAGAGUGCCGGAAGUAGAACUAGGUCUAUACCCGCCCCCCCCUUCAACACCCUUUUAACAUUGGCUUAAAAGUAGUUUUUAUUGCCUUUCUGGAAUACUAGUAUACUAUUUUUAAAUUAAAGUUGUAAAAUAUUUCUGUGGGUGUAAGAAAUAAUUCCUUUCCUAAAACAUAAUAAUUAAAGUAAUAAGUCAUUAGGGGAAAGAUGAUCAUAAAGGGAUUACCUUUUAGGGCAUUAACCCUAAUUAUUACCUAACUAGCCAUGAGGUAACUGAAUUUUAAAGCUGUUGAAAGUUAACACUAUUAUUUCACACCGAUCCAGACUUUUCAGCCUAUCCACAACUUGCAAAUGUAGUUUGGGAAAAAAAAAUUACCAUUUAGUUUUUUAAAAAUCGUUUUCCUUUUUGGUCCUUCUAAACUUUGUUACCCUGCUUGGAUAUGCUGCACUCUUCUGGGCAGAGAAUUUCAUAGCAGUUAUCAGAAUAACCGAGCCCUAAGACCAGUCUCCUCAAACAAUCUCCCUUUACCAGAAACGUUGGAGGUGUAAGUCCUCUUACACAAAACAGAUGCACAACAAACAAUGACGAUUUAAGUGAAAACUGUAAUAAUGACUUCUGAUUUAAUUUUGCGUCUUCUCGCACAGUCUACACCUGAAACAACUGUACCGGAGGCACCGUCCUGGAAACUGCCAGCUGCUUCCUUUGUUUUAAAAAUGGCAAGCAGACACAGAGCUAAAAAUCAACGUUUCCAGAGAAGGUUGGGGGGGGGGGGGAGGAGGAGGAGGAGGCAUAGACGACUUCUAACAGACCAGCUUUCAGAAACGAGAAGUCGGUAGUCAACUUUUUCCUGAUAACGGGGGGAAAAAAAAUCACAAACACAUUUUGGAAAAUAAUGCUGUCUUGAAAACCAUCUCUGUUGGACCAGGUCCUUACUUCCCUGGAAGUAAUCACACCCAUAGACUUCAUUUCAGCACAGGGUUCACAUGUAUCACUCGAAGCUAUGGGCAUAAAGCUGCCUCCUUCAAAUGGAAAAUUUGACCAACCCCUA
rnacentral:lncRNA from 1 species